GUACUUGAUUUGGCAGUGCAUAUAUUAAAAUUGGAACUAUACAGAGUAGAUUAGCAUGGCUCAUACUCAAGAAUGAAUUGCAAAAUCGUGAUGCUUUCCUUAUUUAU